AAACUCAAAUGAAUUGACGGGUCCCCGCACAAGCAGCGGAGCGUGUGGUUUAAUUCGUUGCUACACGAAGAACCUUACCUGGGUUUGACAUAGCAGUGGUAGGGAGAGAAAUCGGACCGACCCUUCGGGGAGCUUGCACAGGUGCUGCAUGGCUGUCGUCAGCUCGUGUCGUGAGAUGUUCGGUUAAGUCCGCUAACGAGCGCAACCCUCACUGUGUGUUAUAUGUGUCACACGGGACUGCCGGUUUUAAGCCGGAGGAAGGUGGGAUGACGUCAAGUCAGCAUGGCCUUUAUAUCCUGGGCUACACACACGCUACAAUGGUCGGUACAAUAGGUUGCCAAGCCGCGAGGCGGAGCCAAUCCACAAAGCCGGCCUCAGUUCAGAUUGUAGGCUGCAACUCGCCUGCAUGAAGAUGGAGUUGCUAGUAACCGCAGGUCAGCAAUACUGCGGUGAAUACGUUCCCGGGUCUU
rnacentral:rRNA from 1 species